rnacentral:tRNA from 1 species
GGUGGCUCAGUGGUAGAGUGCUUGCCUAGCAAGCAUGAAGCCCUGGGUUCAAUUCCUCAGUACCA